rnacentral:rRNA from 1 species
GCUACGGGAGGCAGCAGUGGGGGAUAUUGCACAAUGGGGGGAACCCUGAUGCAGCGACGCCGCGUGGGUGAAGGAGUGCUUCGGCAUGUAAAGCCCUAUCGGCAGGGAAGAAGCAAGACGGUACCUGACUAAGAAGCCCCGGCUAACUACGUGCCAGCAGCCGCGGUAGUACGUAGGGGGCGAGCGUUAUCCGGAUUCCAUGGGUGUAAAGGGGUCGUAGACGGACAGUCAAGCCAGGGGUGAAAGCCCGGGGCCCAACCCCGGGACUGCCCUAGGAACUGGAUGGCUGGAGUGCGGGAGGGGCAGGCGGAAUGCCGGGUGUAGCGGGGAAAUGCGUAGAUAUCAGGAGGAAGACCGGCGGCGAAGGCGGCCUGCUGGACCGCGACUGACGUGGAGGCUCGAAAGCGUGGGGAGCGAACAGGAUUAGAUACCCGAGUAGUC